UCCUAGCCUUUUAAUUGGAGGCCUGCAUGAAUGGCUUGACGAGCGCCCUGCUGUCUCUCUUCCCAUGAACUUUUAAAUUAACUUUCCCGUGCAAAGGCGCGAAUGGCUGAGUUAGACGAAAAGACCCUAUGCAUCUUUACUGAGAGAGAAGAAAGUUCUUUAGCUUGGUUUAGCUGGGGCAGCUGAGGAAAAGGCAAAAUUUCCUUAAUAUAAAUCAUACUGGUGGGUUUAGAUCCAGGCUCUUUAGCGGGCUUGACAAGUAGAAAAGUUACGCUAGGGAUAACAGCGUUAUCCUUCUGUGGAGGUCUUAUCUGCAGGAGGGAUUGCGACCUCGAUGUUGAAUUAGGGAUAUACCAGAAAGGCGC
rnacentral:rRNA from 1 species